UGGGGAAUCUUGCACAAUGGGGGCAACCCUGAUGCAGCGACGCCGCGUGAGCGAUGAAGGUUUUCGAAUCGUAAAGCUCUGUCCUAUGGGAAGAUAAUGACGGUACCAUAGGAGGAAGCCCCGGCUAACUACGUGCCAGCAGCCGCGGUAAUACGUAGGGGGCGAGCGUUGUCCGGAAUUACUGGGCGUAAAGGGUUCGCAGGCGGCAUGGCAAGUCCGAUGUAAAAGGCGAAGGCUCAACCUUCGUAAGCAUCGGAAACUGUCAAGCUGGAGUGAAGGAGAGGCAAGUGGAAUUCCUAGUGUAGCGGGGGAAUGCGUAGAUAUUAGGAGGAAUACCGGUGGCGAAGGCGACUUGCUGGACUUCAACUGACGCUGAGGAACGAAAGCGUGGGUAGCAAACAGG
rnacentral:rRNA from 1 species